rnacentral:lncRNA from 1 species
GAAAGAGAUGGCAUGCCAAUUAAUUUUUCUUUCUCUUUCAAUUAAAUUUUGUUUUCUUUGUUAUUUUAUACCCUUUCCAUUAGCCUGGCUCCAAGGGAGUCUGAUCAGCUCUCACUGUGAAGGUUCAGGCUGUAACCUGAAACCAUAUUGGAGGGUUUCUUUUAUGAGUGGGGGAUGGGGAGACUCUGAAUUUACCUUUCUUCUAAAGAAAACAAAUGACCUUAAGAAAGGCCUGUAAGCAUGCAGAUGGCUGUCCCCUCCAGUGAUGCUGAGAUUAUCUUUCUCCUCUGACAGUGAUUGCCUCGUGUUUGCAGGCAACCAUAUUCCUCUGAUUUUCUGGAAUAGUCUUCAUUUCAAGCAUUCCAUCUUACAGUUCCACUAAGAAACCUUUAUCAGACCGCAUGUUCAGAUUUUUGAGUUGGGAUGGGAAGCUAUCAUCGCUGAAUGUAAAUUUUUGGAUUUAAAUAGGCCAGCUCUUGUGUGUUCCUGCAUCUUAAGAUAAGAAUCCAGUUGAACGUAACUCACCGGAACCUUCCAAGAUUCCAAUUUUGAGGCCCAUGACCAAGGCUUUAAUCAAAUCGGCUUUCUUCACCCAGCAGGAUAGCACGCAGUUUUUAAAAAUACCAUACUAGGAUUUUUUGGCUACUGUGGCUAACAGAAUUAAACUCGACUGUUUCUUUCAAAUAUCUCAAUUUGCCAUUUAGAUGUGAUUGUAAACACACUAUUCCCUUUGUUGCCAUGGUAACAGGUCUGGGCCCUCAUGGGUGACAGAAAAGUACCCUGGUACUUGUUCCUGUUGGAACACACAUGGUCGCUGAGUUUUGCCUUGCAGCGGGAGCAAAGAGGAGGCUGGAAUCAGUACACUUUCUCCAGCAAGGGCAAUCUUUAAAGGCAGUAAGGUGUGACGCUCCAGACUGGCAGCUUGGCAAGACGGAGCCCAUGGAUACCAGCACACGGGAAUCUGGACGCUUCGCUCUGACAGCAGUCAGCACUGGGAACAAAAGGAAUGGAGGGGAAAAAAGUGCAAAUGUAUUUUUACAUAUUGCAGGCAUAUGGCCACAAGACCAGCAGAAAUAUAUUUAA